rnacentral:rRNA from 1 species
AGAGCGAACGCUGGCGGCAGGCCUAACACAUGCAAGUCGAGCGCCCCGCAAGGGGAGCGGCAGACGGGAGAGUAACACGUGGGAACGCGCCCUUCGGUUCGGAAUAACUCAGGGAAACUUGAGCUAAUACCGAAUACGCCCUUACGGGGAAAGAUUUAUUGCCGAAGGAACGGCCCGCGUCCGAUUAGCUAGUUGGUGAGGUAAUGGCUCACCAAGGCUACGAUCGGUAGCUGGUCUGAGAGGAUGACCAGCAUCACUGGGACUGAGACACGGCCCAGACUCCUACGGGAGGCAGCAGUGGGGAAUAUUGGACAAUGGGCGCAAGCCUGAUCCAGCCAUGCCGCGUGGAUGAUGAAGGCCUUAGGGUUGUAAAGUCCUUUUAACGGGAAGAUAAUGACGGUACCCGUAGAAUAAGCCCCGGCUAACUUCGUGCCAGCAGCCGC